AGCAGCCGCGGUAAUUCCAGCUCCAAUAGCGUAUAUUAAAGUUGUUGCAGUUAAAAAGCUCGUAGUUGAAUUUCGGGAUCAAUAUAUCGGUCGUGCCUCCGGUAUGCACUGGUAUUAUUGAUUUCUACCUUCUGACGAAUCAUGAUGUCAUUAAUUUGGUGUCAUGGGGAAUCAGGACUGUUACCUUGAAAAAUUAGAGUGUUUAAAGCAGGCACACGCUUGAAUGCAUUAGCAUGGAAUAAUGAAAUAGGACGUUUGACCCUAUUUUGUUGGUUUCUAGGAUCGACGUAAUGAUUAAUAGGGAUAGUUGGGGGCAUUAGUAUUCAAUUGUCAGAGGUGAAAUUCUUGGAUUUAUUGAAGACUAACUACUGCGAAAGCAUUUGCCAAGGAUGUUUUCAUUAAUCAAGAACGAAAGUUAGGGGAUCGAAGACGAUCAGAUACCGUCGUAGUCUUAACCAUAAACUAUGCCGACUAGGGAUCGGAUGAUGUUAAUUUUAAUGACUCU
rnacentral:rRNA from 1 species